rnacentral:rRNA from 1 species
UACGAAGGGGGCUAGCGUUGCUCGGAAUCACUGGGCGUAAAGGGUGCGUAGGCGGGUCUUUUAAGUCAGGGGUGAAAUCCUGGAGCUCAACUCCAGAACUGCCUUUGAUACUGGUGAGCUUGAGUCCGGAAGAGGUGAGUGGAACUGCGAGUGUAGAGGUGAAAUUCGUAGAUAUUCGCAAGAACACCAGUGGCGAAGGCGGCUCACUGGCUCGGUACUGACGCUGAGGUGCGAAAGCGUGGGGAGCAAACAGGG